rfam:Tncultured Termite group 1 bacterium phylotype Rs-D17 DNA, complete genome.
GGGGGUGAGUAGGGUUCGACGAGAGUGAUAUACGUAAUGACAGCAGGCCGGAGUUAGUCGAUGGCUCCGUAAAAAUCGACUGAACAAUAAACAAUAAAAUAAACAAAGUAACAAGUAACAACUUUGCUGCAGUUUUCAAUUUUUUCACAGGAUCUAAAACGCUUUGCAGCAAUUUUGAAAUUAUGGCCGCUUAAUGCGGCUUCCGUUUUACUUCAGACACCUACUAUGGGGAUAAAACGACAGGAGCAGGUUAGUUUUAAGCUGUUUGUACCGUCAGCUUAAAAUGAAAUUAAAACGGCACUGAUUUAUAAUGCAAUCUUGUCCGGAGACAGUGUUAUAAACGAAAUAAACUUUCUGGACUAAGCCUGUAGCGGUCAUACCAAAACAUUUUCGGACGCGGGUUCAAUUCCCGCCACCUCCACAA